UACGUAGGCGGUCUGUUAAGUCAGAUGUGAAAGCCCCGGGCUUAACCUGGGAACUGCAUUUGAUACUGGCAGACUAGAGUAUGGUAGAGGGGGUAGAAUUCCUAGUGUAGCGGUGAAAUGCGUAGAUAUUAGGAGGAAUACCAGUGGCGAAGGCGGCCCCCUGGGCCAAUACUGACGCUGAGGUACGAAAGCGUGGGUAGCGAACA
rnacentral:rRNA from 1 species